rnacentral:rRNA from 1 species
GACCUACGGGAGGCAGCAGUGGGGAAUAUUGAGCAAUGGGCGAAAGCCUGACGCAGCGACGCCGCGUGAGGGAUGAAGGUCUUCGGAUCGUAAACCUCUGUCAGCAGGGAAGAACGGUCACUGUGCUAAUCAGCAGCGAAUUGACGGGACCUGCAAAGGAAGCACCGGCUAACUCCGUGCCAGCAGCCGCGGUAAUACGGAGGGUGCGAGCGUUAAUCGGAAUUACUGGGCGUAAAGCGCUCGUAGGCGGCACG